GAUAACUUAAGCCAAGCGCACAGAAACUUUUUAGAAUUGAAGAGUUUGUUCGUUUGGCUCGAGUUAGGC
rfam:Anopheles culicifacies strain species A-37_1 cont1.224, whole genome shotgun sequence.